GCCCCUUUAAGAACCCCUGUGAGGGCCAUUGUGGCAGUUGGAGCCUGGUGGAAGGACCAGGUGGCAGGGAUUCAUCAGCAUCAUAGCAGAGGACUUUAAUUCACCCCUGUCAGGAGGGAAAGUCAUCAAGGAAUCCAGAAACAAUGAUUUCCUCCCAGAGACAGAAGAACAGCUUAAGAUGGCACCACGUGGAGCAUCUAGCUAACAGCCUAUUGGAAGCAUAUGCAACACUGCUAUGUCAUCAGUCCAUGAUCCUGGCCAUAAACUCCAGCUCUGUGGAUCCCUUACAACAAUACGACACCCAGUUGGAGAUCAUAAAAUCAUCUUUUAAAAUGAUAUUUGGCCUACCGAGUUUUGACGAAGGAACAGUUCGGACCAGUGGUGAGGAUGCCGAGGAACUGGAGAUUUUAUAUAAAAAUAUUUUAAGUCUGCUCGAGGACACUCUUCUGAUCUUAGUAUCUAAAGACCUCUACAAACUGCAGAUCUUAAAGGAAAUGAUGGUGUGGAUGAGAGAAGACAAUUUGUACCUGCAAGAGAAACCACUGGUGAUCAUCAGCAAGGUGUUAAGAUUUGCAUCCAGGAAAGUCAGGGAACAUACAAGUAUUGAUGCUCCAUGUUUAGGUGUCCUGGCAGCAGAGCUGUCUCUUUUAUAUUCCCACGCGGAUCUCACCAUCGUACAACAAGCUUCCCUGGCAGUAUAUUACCUCCUCAGCAUUGCAAAACGUCAGAUGGCAGACUUCCAAAAAUAUAAAGCUAAGAUGCAGUAUGAGUGUGGAAAUUCCUGCCUCCUGCCUCCUGAUUCUGAAUUCCGACCCGGGAUCUUGAAACAAGACAAAACUAAACUCGCUCAGAGCAUAGGACAAACCUUACUGCCCUCCCUGCUGACUGACUUUGUGUUGUAUCUCCUGACGAAACUCUCCACAUCUAAUCAAGAAACCACAACCAAAGCAGCAGCCAUACUGAAACUGACUCUGAAAUAUCACGCCCAGAAGAUCACCAGGGUGUCUCAGCUGGUGGACACUAUUUAUAAGCAACUGAAUGAAAAUCCUUCUUACUUUAUAAAGGAUGUCUUGUUGGAGGUUGCCACCUUGUUGACACAAUCGUCGCCCAAAGCUGUCAUCUUUCAGCUCUUGGACUACCCAGUCCCAGCGGACAAAGCUGUGAUGCUGAUGUGGCAGGCAGUGGGCACCAAGCCACAAGUCGCCCCGCAGGUGCUGAAGGCAAUCCUCUUGGUGCUGAAGGACAAGCCUUGGGAGGUGGAGGACAGCCUGCAGGAAGGGAAAUGCUUCAUCUUGGAUGCCACCAACAUGAUGCCUCUGGCGGCAUCCCAGGCCCUGUGCGUGCUUUUGCCUAUAAAUUCCUAUAACAAAACAGUGGCCCAGUUUUUUCCUGAGCUCUUCAUGGCCCUCAUGUUUCAACUCCUCUACAUCAGUCAGCUGAGAGUGCAGACCCAGGACAGGCCUCUCUAUGCCAGGGAGGCACUGAGAAUUCUGCUGAAUUGCUCAGGACUGCAACACGUGGAUACGGCUCUAAAGAACAAGUUUUUCUGGAGUCAUAUUUACCAGACAUAUUACUACCAUGAUGGGGUGAACCUCAUGGCCAGAACUCUCUGUGACUGUAACUUCCCACAAUUUCCAGAAACCUUACGUUAUCUCUACAAGAUCUUAGUGCAAGGCCCUAGGAGGUCAGAAGAGCAUAUCAUCAUAGUAACAUUCUUCAUCAAAAUUCUGGAUAAGUUCUUCAAGGACCCACUCCCAGAAUUAUUUUUGGUCUUCCUCAGAAACUGGAUCAGUGAUUCCAAUCCUGAAAUUAGCAAAUUAAGCCUUCAGAAAAUCACCAGCAUGGCCCCGGUUGUCAAUAAGAUAGAAAAUGUCUCCAGCUUAUUAACAUCCAUCCUGGAUGCCUUCGUAUCCAGAGAGGACACUGUUGUGAUUCAAGCCUUGCUCACCCUCCGAAAACUUGUAGACAAACUGGACAAGGUGACCUACUCCUCGCUGUGCACUAGAAUUGCUUCCAGCUACUUCUGUCUGAUGGAUCAUUUUUCUGGGAGUGUCCGGAGCUUGGCUAUCAGGCACUUGGCGGACUUACUCAAGGACGUGGGUCAGCAAACAUCAACUCUCAAACACAUCAUGAGAGGACUCGCACCCCUCCUUCUCUGUCUGGAGGACAGCGAUGGUAGAGUAGUGAGUGCAUGUAAAUAUACAUUAAAAAUCUGUGACUCCGAACUAGAAUGGUCAAUAGCAAAUCUGCUUAAAGAUGAAAAUUACAAUUUUGAGCUGGUAGUUCUCUACACCUGCAACCAUCUGAUCCUUUCUCACGAGAGUUGCACUACGUAUUUAAUAUGUGAUGCCUUACGGUUCCUGGGGAAUCCCCAGGUGCAUCUGAGGAGAGCAGCAGUUAUUUUACUAGCUGUUGAACGAAUGCUCCAGGAUGAAGGCCCUGGGAUCCAGAAGCUGGCAGAAAUAACCCACAACCUUUUAAAGAAAAUAGCCAAUAGACCAAGAUCUACAACUAUUAAACUUGCUAUCCAGAGAUUCUUUAAGUUCUCCGCCAAGGAACUGAAGCUUAUUUAUAAUUGGAAAAGUACCACACAGACAGACCUGUAAGCUUCCUCUCUCGAUAACCUACCUGCGUCGGUAGAUGCUUUUCUGAAAGAUGCUACAGGCUUUCACUGCCCCUUUUCAAUUCUCUAUUGAAAUGUAUAAAUCUGAAAACUCUACUGCCUCUGUGUGUCUGGCAGUGACUAGAAGUCAUUCCUCACUUCUAGUGGGGAAUAGGUUCCAGGUCCCCAACAGAUCUGAACCCGACGGCUGUUUAAGUCCCUUACACAAAAUGGCAUAGUAUUUGCACAUAAGCUACACAUAUCCUCCCACAUAUUUUAUAUUUUAGAUUACUUAUAAUGCCUGAUACAAUGUGCAUGCUGCAUAAAUAAUUGUUAUAUGAGAUUGUUUAGGAAGUAAUGACAAAAAAUGUGCAGAUUUAGUGCAGACACAGAUAUCCCAAUAUUUCCCAUUCAUGGUUGAUUGAAUCCGUGGAUGUGAAAUCCACAAAUAUGGCUUAUACCCCACUGUAUCAGCAUGGUUCGGGUGAGAGGCUCUUGGAAAUUGAUUGAGUGAGCAUGUGCCG
ensembl:lincRNA